UUAAUAAAUAUUAUCUAUACAAAUAAUAAUUAUAUUAAAUUAAAUGUCAUGUUAAAUAAUUGUUUUAAAAGUCUUAUGACAAGCCGAAUGGCUAACCUAGCUGAAAGUAAUGCUAUAUGUAUAGUUUUGACAGUUGUGUUGAAUAAUCAAUUUAUUUCAAGAUGCCUGAGGAAGUCACGAUACGUGACGAAACAUUGCAGAAUUGAUAAAUAAAUUAACAUAACAA